rnacentral:snoRNA from 15 species
UUGCCCAAUGAUUAUAGAAAGACGCGUUAUUAUGAGGACUUUAUGCUGGAAUUCUUUACCCUUUUUUUUCCCCCUAUGCUUUACUUUUCUCCUCUUUCUAUGGAUGUCCAGCGUCCUGUGAGCAAGAUUAUGAGAUAUGAGGGCAA